rnacentral:rRNA from 1 species
AUUGAACGCUGGCGGCAGGCCUAACACAUGCAAGUCGAGCGAGCGGCGGACGGUUGAGUAAUGUCUGGGAAACUGCCUGAUGGAGGGGGAUAACUACGGGAAACGGUAGCUAAUACCGCAUACCAUCAGAUGUGCCCAGAUGGGAUUAGCUAGUAGGUGGGGUAACGGCUCACCUAGGCGACGAUCCCUAGCUGGUCUGAGAGGAUGACCAGCCACACUGGAACUGAAAUACGGUCCAGACUCCUACGGUGGGCAGGAGUGGGAAAUAUUGCACAAUGGGCGCAAGCUUGAUACAGCCAUGCCGCGUGUAUGAAGAAGGCCUUAGGGUUGUAAAGGACUUUCAGCGGGGAGGCGUUACCCGCAGAAGGAGCACCGGCUAACUCCGUGCCAGCAGCCGCGGUAAUUC